AGGUGUGUUUGUGUGUUACCUCUUGACUGUGACUCUGGAAGUAACAUGUACCUGAGGUCAUGUCAGUGUGAAGUUACUGGUGUGCGUUUUGCCAGUGGAGGCUUCGUAGCCGGUAAGCUGGCUUGCAAAUCUACCAACUCUUCACGACUGGAACGUCAACGCUUGCAUUGUGCAUCUUCGAAUGAUGGCUUAUGUCACUGGAGGAGACUCAGAACCUGCGAUUACUAACCAAGAAAACACUGAACCCAGUCCUUCAAGCAAUCAUCCAAUGGCAGCAAUAUGAAACCAAGCUGAAGGCAAUUCAAUUCUGACCUGGACUUGUGAUUAUUCAAACAGGCUGAUGACGUCACCUGCAAAUCACCAUGUGAGAGAUAGCAUAUGCCAUAUAUUCAUGCACACACCCACAGGUUAUACAUUCAAAAUAAACACCCUCCCCUGAACCAAAAGACUCUGUUCAACUACAGGGUGAGCUGUCUGUGUUGUGAGGGAAAUCAGUCACCUUGGUGAACCUCUCUCUGCCUUGACCUAGCAUAACCCAUUAUCCUUAACCUAACUAUCAGCUCUCCCUUGUUGAGCUUUGUUCAGUUUAUCAUUAUGCAGCCAGCACGUGUCUCUCUUUUUGGCAAUGAAACACUUGACUGGCAUGUCAAGCCAACAGCUGUUUCAUGCAUGUAAGAAAGGUGGCUGCAUUCACACCGCAGCUUGUUGCCAGUAUCGGACUCACGAGCACUCCUACCUGGUCACAGAUACAAUGGGGCCACCGACAGAGCUGCAGCAAACGCUGCACACCAAACCUGAGCCAUAUAUUGAGACUAAGAAAUGCAUCCCCUAAGAGUAGCUUCUACUGAAAAACUUACACAUUUACAGGGGGAAAAAUAACCAGUAGUGAUUUCUAACUAAUGGUUACUUCAUUGCCUUAGGAGUAAGUCAGUUCGUAUGCCAUGACGAAAUCAGAUGCAACACAACAUCAAUGCCUAACUAUAUGUUUUCAUUGAUUCCCAUUUCUUUCUUUUGUAAUAAGGAGAAAAGGAGAUUUGUCAUCUUUCAAAUACACACAAUUCCAAAUUAGCUACCCUAUAAUUGUCUUCCUGAAUCAGCUGUACUAUUUAAUUACCAACUGCCAACCAGCAUAUAGAUCAAUGUCCACACUUUCUGUUUCAUUUGAUUUCUGAAAUGUCCUCACUUCUCAAAAUAGUGCUCAGGUAGUGCUUCGGGUUGAUUAAAAAACCCUCAAACCUGUAAAAUAGUACUUACCUUGUCCUUUUUCAAAAAAUAUAAUCUUGGAUUCUGGA